GGCAAAGACAUUUUUGGUGCUGCAGAAUUUUAGUAAUUCGUUUGUGUGUACCAUGAGAUGAAAAAGGUUGAAAUUGCUGUGAUGACACUGUAGAUUAGAUGCUGACUCGGGUUUGGGCCCCUUUGGGUGGUGUGGUAUUAGCAGGGCUUCCUACAUGUUGUGCCAUGGCACAGUAUACAGCAGAAAGGUUCGAUUUGUGUCAUGUUAAUUCUCUAAGUCCAUGGACAGCCAGGUUGCAUUCUCUGUGCAUCUGGACCAUAAUGUGUGCCGUCACAUCUGAAUAGCACUGUGGGCACAAAUGAGGCUGAUGAUGGCAACUAGCUGAAAUUGUUUGGUACCACACAGUUCAUAGCACAUUUGGAGCUGUUGUCCUUGUGUAUGGCCCUUUGUUAAGAAGUAUCAUAUGUAUAUGGCCCUUUGCUAUUGAAAGUUGAUUUUGUCCCCCCUGUGGUCCUAAUAGAACGUUAAGCAUGCCAUUUAGAUGUUUCAUAAAGCCUGAGAAGGAAGCAAGGGCUUUUCUACUUGUUCUGUACUUUCCUUGUUGCUCUCAGACUGGUUAUAGACCAGGGAGGAGUUGAUCUUAAUUAGAUAGAGGAGUAAAGAAUAGAGUCAGUUGGUAUAAGAGGAAGAUAGAGUAACCUUAGAAAGUAUAGAGGAACUUAAAGUGGUUCUAGAUUCAUUUAAUUAUACCCACCUUCUUUUCCUGACUAUUUCUCACUGACAUUUAAUGUAUGACGUCUUCCAUUCCUUUUUAUUUUACAUGUCCAGCAGGAUCUAUUACUUGUGUCCUCUCAAGUGAAUGUUUAACAUUUCUUAAGUUGUAUAUAAAAGUAAGCAGGAUGGCUAUUAUAGUACAGUAGGGCAUAUUAGAGUCAGAUGGACUAAGUGUGAGCCCCAGCUCUCACUUGGAUAGUUUAUUUACCACUUAGAACCGCACUUUUCUCGUUGUAAAAUGUGGGUAAAUAUAUGGAAGCUGCACUGAAAAGCACUCUCGCCUUCCUUGGUAAAGUCGGGCAGUUCAUUCCACUCCUCAGAGCCUCAGUUUCUUCAUCUGUAAAAUGAGAUGGAUGUUCAGAUAGCAUGUCUUAAUUUCUAAACCUAGCCUUCUGUAAUGUAGUUAGGUAGCCAUGUCUUUUUCAAAGACAAAUAUAGGUGGUGAGGAUAACAACCAGGUGAUUUGCUCUAAUAAACAACCUAAUGGCUGCUGUUGUUAAAGAAAAUUUAUUCUGAUACAUUAAAAAUGGCAAGGAAGACUUUAUUCAAGACUAUUGCAAUAGAGUAGAGAGACUGAACUCAACUCUGAAUAUAAAACAAGUGGAAUUUAUAGCCAAUGGGCAGGGCAAGGAAGUGGAUGGAAAAUUACUAAGAGGAACUUGUUUGGGUAUCAUGGAUAGGGGAGGAAAAAGAGGCACUUGAGUAGAUAUUAAGGAUGAGAGAAGAGGAGUUUGAUUGGCUAUUAUUGUAGAAUG